rnacentral:rRNA from 1 species
AUGGUCUGUUUCUUUGUUGUUGAUUACCCUAUGGCAACGAUUGAUGCAGACAACAAACAAGUGGCAAGCCUAGGUCCCAUGGACGCUCAGCACGAGAUAUUUGCAAACCACACACAAGUUCAGGACGAGUUACAUACAUCCAGCUACGACAAGCAUACACCACAUCACAUCGGAUGUUAUUUGUUUUAUCAUUAUUAUUCAAACCCUGCCGGUCUCAUCACUGCAAUGCAGUUCACACGCGCGCGCGCACACACACACACAACCACGGGCACUCACACAGAAGACAGAGCCCAUCAAAGAUGA